rnacentral:rRNA from 1 species
GACGAACGCUGGCGGCGUGCUUAACACAUGCAAGUCGAACGGUAAGGCCCUUCGGGGUACACGAGUGGCGAACGGGUGAGUAACACGUGGGUGAUCUGCCCUGCACUUCGGGAUAAGCCUGGGAAACUGGGUCUAAUACCGGAUAGGACCACUGCCUGCAUGGGUGGUGGUGGAAAGCUUUUGCGGUGUGGGAUGGGCCCGCGGCCUAUCAGCUUGUUGGUGGGGUGAUGGCCUACCAAGGCGACGACGGGUAGCCGGCCUGAGAGGGUGACCGGCCACACUGGGACGGAGGUACGGCCCAGACGCCUACGGGAGGCAGCAGUGGGGAAUAUUGCACAAUGGGCGCAAGCCUGAUGCAGCGACGCCGCGUGAGGGAUGACGGCCUUCGGGUUGUAAACCUCUUUCAGCACCGACGAAGCGCAAGUGACGGUAGGUGCAGAAGAAGGACCGGCCAACUACGUGCCAGCCGCCGCGGUAA